rnacentral:rRNA from 1 species
GCGAACGAGUGAGUAACACGUAGCGACCUACCCUGUAGCGGGGGAUAACCACUGGAAACGGUGGCUAAUACCGCAUAGACUCGAAAGAGGAAAGUGCCCACGGGCAUACUACGGGAGGGGGCUGCGGGCCAUCAGGUAGUUGGUGAGGUAGAGGCUCACCAAGCCAACGACGGCUAUCUGACGUGAGAGCGUGAUCAGACACGAGGACACUGAGACACGGGUCCUACUCCUACGGGAGGCAGCAGUGGGGAAUCUUGGACAAUGGGGGCAACCCUGAUCCAGCGACGCCGCGUGAACGACGACGUCCUUCGGGAUGUAAAGUUCUUUUUACAGGGGAGAAAGUACACCUCAGGGAAUGGGGGUGUAUUGACGGUACCCGUAGAAUAAGCCCCGGCUAACUACGUGCCAGCAGCCGCGGUAAGACGUAGGGGGCAAGCGUUACCCGGAAUCACUGGGCGUAAAGGGGGCGUAGGCGGUCUAAAGGGUCAUAUGUUAAAAGAUACGGCUUAACCGUAGAAAUGCGUAUGAAACCGUUAGACUUGAGGGUAGCAGAGGAAAAGGGAAUUACCACUGUAGGGGUGAAAUCCGUAGAGAGUGGUAAGAAUGCCGGUGGCGAAGGCGCUUUUCUGGGUUACACCUGACGCUGAGGCCCGAAAGCCAGGGGAGCGAACCGGAUUAGAUACCCGGGUAGUCCUGGCCGUAAACGAUGCUCACUAGGUGUAGUAGGUCGACAGGCCUGCUGUGCUGAAGCAAACGCGAUAAGUGAGCCGCCUGGGGAGUACGUC